rnacentral:SRP_RNA from 1 species
GCCAGGUGUGGUGGUGUGCUCCUGUAAUCCCAGCUACUUGGGAGGCUGAGGCAGGAGAAUCACUUGAACCCAGGAGGCCGAGGGUGCAGUGAGCUGAGAUCACCCCACUGCACUCUAGCCUGGGCGACAGAGUGAGACUCCAUCUCAA